rnacentral:lncRNA from 1 species
GGUGCUCCCCUCUGGCGGGUGCGCACGGGCCCUGUGAGCGAUCGCGGUGGGCUUGGGCUGGUGACGCGUGCGCCGGCCGGCCGCCGAGGGGCUACCGUUCUGCCUCCGACCGGUCGUGUGUGGGUUUACUCGGAGAAAUACUAGGCUUUAGAAUUUCACCAUAUGAAUUUUGGGAGAGAGGAGCACAGUUCAGCCCAUAACUAACACACGACGGAAUGAAGUUGAUAAUAGUGAGACCUUGUUGGUACAAGACUAUGUAACAUAACCUGCGCUUCUCAACAAAGAAUUGCUUUUCUGACUUCUGCACUCAACUACUCAACAUGAAGGCAAUAAGAAUGAAGACCUCUAUGUAUAAUAAUUGACUUCCACUUAAUAAAUAAGGUUACUUGGUACACUGGUCGACAAAACCUUGAAAUGUUGAUGUUUAAGGGCUGUUGAUUGCUGGCAGCAAAGAAGUCCAACUGUGCUGGUACCCGAGAUAGCGUCUCCACAUUUUCUUCCAGGAUCAUCACCUUUGUUCUAAAUAGCUCCCACAUAGUGUGAACAGAAGUCAUAUGUUUUAGAUUUUCUGCCUUGGCACCCAGGAAACCAGUAUGAUUGAGUAAACAUAUUAAACUUCCUCUGCAUUUCCAGCCUGAACAGAUGUUGAGUACAAGCUGAUCCACCUACGUUCAACCUGAGAGAGUCCACAUCCACAGACUGUUUCAUUUCCCUUUUUCAAUUUACAUAGAAGCAUAGAUUCUUGCUGGCAUAUACAAAUGCGCCAUUUAAGGCAAUCAAAAAUGGUUCCACAUCUCAUCUGAUUUCCACAAUUGUUGCUGUAACGAUGGACUACUGAGGAGAGAGACAAUUUCUCUGGCACAUCUUCCCACAUUUUAGCAACAUGUUCAUGGAGAGCCAAUAUUCAGUAAUUACAGCCCAAUUCCUCACAAUUUCACAAUUCGCUAACAAUAUGCAUUUUCACAAUGUAAAGCUGAUUUUCCUUUAACCAAAUCAAACAUGAAAAGAUAGCUGCAUGCAAUGGGCAAUCUAGAUCAUUAGAAGAUUGAUGUAAAAUUAGAGGACACUGAGACUGGAAUAGAUUGCAAACUUCAGGGAGCUCAGAAAACUUGUAAACUCUACAUUUUGAGGAAAUAUGUUGUCGAUGCUUUUGCAACUCUAUGCAGUAACUUAACAAAUAAAGCCUUAAAGUAACUUA